rnacentral:rRNA from 1 species
GCCUAAAGCGUCCGUAGCCUGUUCUAUAAGUUUCCGGUUAAAUCCAUUAGCUCAACUAAUGGGCCGCCGAAAAUACUGUGGAACUAGGGAGUGGGAGAGGUAGACGGUAUUCGGUAGGAAGGGGUAAAAUCCUUUGAUCUAUCGAGGACCACCUGUGGCGAAGGCGGUCUACCAGAACACGUUCGACGGUGAGGGAUGAAAGCUGGGGGAGCAAACCGGAUUAGAUACCCGGGUAGUCCCAGCUGUAAACGAUGCAGACUCGGUGAUGCGCUGGCUUGUGGCCAGUGCAGUGCCGCAGGGAAGCCGUUAAGUUUGCCGCCUGGGAAGUACGUACGCAAGUAUGAAACUUAAAGGAAUUGGCGGGGGAGCACCACAAGGGGUGAAGCCUGCGGUUCAAUUGGAGUCAACGCCAGAAAUCUUACCCGAAGAGACAGCAGAAUGAAGGUCAAGCUGGAGACUUUACCAGACAAGCUGAGAAGUGGUGCAUGGCCGUCGCCAGCUCGUGCCGUGAGGUGUCCUGUUAAGUCAGGUAACGAGCGAGAUCCUUGCCUCUAGUUGCCACCAUUACUCUCAGGAGUAGUGGGGCGAAUUAGCGGGACUGCCGUAGUUAAUACGGAGGAAGGAGAGGGCCACGGCAGGUCAGUAUGCCCCGAA